CCUCUUUUCUCAAGGAAGAAGUUCUGACGGUACUUGAGGAAUAAGCAUCGGCUAACUCUGUGCCAGCAGCCGCGGUAAUACAGAGGAUGCAAGCGUUAUCCGGAAUCACUGGGCAUAAAGCGUCUGUAGGUUGCUUAUCAAGUCUGCUGUUAAAGACCAGGGCCUAACCCUGGGAAAGCAGUGGAAACUAGUAGGCUUGAGUGUGGUAGAGGUAGAGGGAAUUCCUGGUGUAGCGGUGAAAUGCGUAGAUAUUAGGAAGAACACCAACGGCGAAAGCACUCUACUGGGCCAUAACUGACACUGAGAGACGACAGCUAGGGGAGCAAAUGGGAUUAGAUACCCCAGUAGUCCUAGCCGUAAACGAUGGAUACUA
rnacentral:rRNA from 1 species